GAUGAACGCUGGCGGCGUGCCUAAUACAUGCAAGUCGAGCGAAAAGACGAGGAGCUUGCUCCUCUGACGUUAGCGGCGGACGGGUGAGUAACACGUGGAUAACCUACCUAUAAGACUGGGAUAACUUCGGGAAACCGGAGCUAAUACCGGAUAAUAUAUUGAACCGCAUGGUUCAAUAGUGAAAGACGGUUUUGCUGUCACUUAUAGAUGGAUCCGCGCCGCAUUAGCUAGUUGGUAAGGUAACGGCUUACCAAGGCAACGAUGCGUAGCCGACCUGAGAGGGUGAUCGGCCACACUGGAACUGAGACACGGUCCAGACUCCUACGGGAGGCAGCAGUAGGGAAUCGGCCGCAAUGGGCGAAAGCCUGACGGAGCAACGCCGCGUGAGUGAUGAAGGUCUUCGGAUCGUAAAACUCUGUUAUUAGGGAAGAACAAAUGUGUAAGUAACUAUGCACGUCUUGACGGUACCUAAUCAGAAAGCCACGGCUAACUACGUG
rnacentral:rRNA from 1 species